rnacentral:misc_RNA from 1 species
GCGAAACGGUCCUGUAAGCAGUAGAGUAGCCUUGUUGUUACGAUCUGCUGAGGGUAAGCCGUCCUUCGCCUCGAUUUCCCCAAUGGGUUCUCCGGAUUUCUGGAGACUUGUAGGGGUUGUGAGAUUUUUGAUGUGUCGUCUCCGGACGGGCGGUGCAGGGUAGUCGAGUUAGACUUGGUGGAAUUCCGUCGAUAGGAGUUCCGUCGAGUCUGGUCGGCUGUGUGUUGGACGGUGCAGGGUAGGCUGCUUGGACAUGGUCGGUUCGAGGAUCGAUUCGAGGGCCGGCCUGUCGAUGAUGUGUGAUGUAUGCGGUCUAGGGUAGGCUGGUUUGUCUUGGUCCAAUUUGAUGUCGGCUCCCGUGCAGGCCAGAGUGAGGGGGUACAGGGUAGGCAGCUUAGAUUUGGUCGAUCUGGAGGUCGAUUCUCCGGCUGGCGGAUCUGACACUGUCGAAACGAGAUGCGAGCGGUGUAGGGUAGGCUAGUUUCGUCCUCGCCGGGUUGCGAUUUGGACGAGAUAUGUGGUCUAGGGUAGGCUCUAGGGUAAGUAGAAUUCGAGUUUCGUCGCCGACAGUUUUCUGUGGGUGUGUGGUAGGUACAGGGUAGGCAAAUCUCCCUCCGGCCAGUACUUGUCUGGUGGUCGUGAGUCGAUUUUUUUGUUUUGCCAUACUAUUGAAUUUUGCGGAAAUUCAAAAGUGGCUCGGGAGUCCCGCCUGGCGUGCGUCCGACUCGAACGUCGUCGGUGUACAUAUGAGAGGGAGUAAUCCGGCCCGGCCGGGGCCCAUCGCGAGGUGCCGGGUAGGUAAAAGUAAAAAAGUUGUUAAGAGGCGCGGUGUCGGCGUGCUUGUAUUUGCGGGAGAGAAUUAUCUGGAGGUGCUGGGUAGCCGGGAAGACUUGGACGGAUCUGGCCCGGGAAUGGGUCUGGGCCUGGAUUCUGGUGUGGUGUAGGGUAGGCGUAGAUAGAUGAGUGGUCUAGGGUAGAUACAGGGUAGCCAGGAGUCUAGUAUAUAGUAUGGGGGUGUAGGGUAGGUCUGGACACUGUUUUCCGCUUUGCCCUUCCCUUUGCUCAAGGGGAGGACGAUCUUGGCUGGGACGGCGGUGUAGGGUAGGCUUAAUUAGCGAUUACAUGAUCUGUGUCACUCUAGGGUAGGUGAAAAUCCCAUAUAUAUCUGAUCACAUUUGGUGAAGAGGUGGUUUGGCUCGUGAGAUGGACAAAAGUGCAAUGUAGAAUUAUAUGUGAUUUUGCAAAAGUGGGUGUGAAAUUGGGAAAUCGGGUUUCCCGCACAGAUGAGAGCACGUUUGAGAUGCCAUGAGAUGCACCUCUCCGAGACGACCUCAACGGUACCACCCAUGUGUUGGUCGGGCUCCUGUGCGGCCGUCCAGGGCGGGAUAAGUAGAGAAUGUGGUGGUGUAGGGUAGGUGACCAGGUCCAGGGUAGGUUCGCCAAAUCCGUCAAUCCGGCUUGAAUCGAAGGACAGGUCUAGGGUAGGCCAGAGUCGGGUCUAGGGUAGGCAACCCUCACCCUCGAAGUGGUCUACCCGGUAGCCAACUUCAAUCGCCUCUCACGGCCGCCACGGACCUCGAAUGACGAUGGGACUACCACCACCGGACUCGCCUUGGUCGAAAUAGCUGGUAUAUGCACUUUUGAAAAAAUGCGUGCAAAAUGGUUUUGUGGUUUGGUGGCCGUGAGUCGAUUUUUUUGUUUUCCCAUACAAAUGAAUUUUGCGGAAAAUAAAAAGUGGCCCACGAGGCAGUCCUGGCGUGCGGCCCACUAAAACGGUCUCGGAGGGUAUAUGAGAAGGGAGCAAAUCCGGCCGAGCCUGAAAGGGUGAGGACAAACCGGGCGAGCAACCUCUCAGUAUCAGAUCUUGCAGACUUCCACUGCGUGUCCCUCUGUACAGCUUUGCAGGCUCCGGCCUCGGCAGCGGGGGGUUCAUAGUGGUCGUCGACCUCCACGAAACUGCACGCUCCGGCGUGACAGCGUACUGGGGAUGCCUGUGUAGAUGCAGUCCGGGCUUGCCUGGACCGCUAGCAGAUGGGCUCUGUGGAUGACUGGCCGCUGGCUAGACCUGAAACCUGAGCAACGGGAGGUAACCUCUCGCCGCGGA